rnacentral:lncRNA from 1 species
UGACAGGAUUUGGAGGUGGGGCCUUUGGGAAGUGAUUAGGUCAUAAGGGUGGAGCCCUCAUGGGUGAGAUUAGAACACUUUUUAAAGAGAGAGAGCUCUCUUUGUCUCUUCCUGCCAUGUGAGGGUACAGUGAGAAGAUGCCCAUCUAUGUACCAAGAUCAGGCCCUACCCAAACCAUGAAUCAGUUGUUACCUCCAUCUUGGACUUCCUAGCCCCAGAACUGUGACAAAUAAGUAUUUGUCAUUUGAGCCACCCAGUCAAAGGAGGACCUAGAUUGAGUAGAGGAAGUGUCUUCCUCCCCUACAGUUUGGUGCUGAGGCCAGGAUAAAAUUUCUCUGACUGGACACUGCUUCCUCCUGGACUACUGCAGCUGAGAGAUCCCAGACCCCUGACAAAAGCCAGUAAGAGCCCCAGAUGGUAUGGCCAAAAUCAAGAGCUCUGUUUAACUGACUUAAAGUAAGCACUUAUAUGUCUUUCAAGUUAGUGUGAUAUGAAAUAAUCUUUGGUGAAUGAAAGCUUGUUUAAGUUUGUUGAUUUGAUUAAAAUGGACAUGUCCUCAAAGUUACCAUCAUUGGAUAUAAUACAGACAUGCAGCCUGGG